rnacentral:rRNA from 1 species
CCUACGGGUGGCAGCAGUGGGGAAUAUUGGACAAUGGGGGCAACCCUGAUCCAGCCAUGCCGCGUGUGUGAAGAAGGCCCUCGGGUUGUAAAGCACUUUCAGUGAGGAAGAACGCCUGGUGGUUAAUACCCAUCAGGAAAGACAUCACUCACAGAAGAAGCACCGGCUAACUCCGUGCCAGCAGCCGCGGUAAUACGGAGGGUGCGAGCGUUAAUCGGAACUACUGGGCGUAAAGCGCGCGUAGGUGGCUUGAUAAGCCGGUUGUGAAAGCCCCGGGCUCAACCUGGGAACGGCAUCCGGAACUGUCAAGCUAGAGUGCAGGAGAGGAAGGUAGAAUUCCCGGUGUAGCGGUGAAAUGCGUAGAGAUCGGGAGGAAUACCAGUGGCGAAGGCGGCCUUCUGGACUGACACUGACACUGAGGUGCGAAAGCGUGGGUAGCAAACAGGAUUAGAUACCCUAGUAGUC